UUUUAGCUUCAUUGCUCUCUUUUGGACAACUUCUGACCUUCCACUCACUCUGCAUUGUUGGUUCUUUUUGUAUGAGAAAUCCAUUUAUGUAUUGCAUACUUAAGACCUCCUAUACUUCAUUUCUACUAUUAACAAAGCUUUAACUCAAGGAACGGUUCAUCAGAACCAAAUUCUGAAGUGCUUGUGCAUUGAAUUGAUAAGGGCACCAAAUAAUUGUGGGUGCAUUAGCGAACAAAAAAGAUAAAACAAAUAAUGUCAAAAUCAUUAUACUUCAUGGAAUGUGGGGUUCAUUAUAAACCCAUUAAGAAAAAACUUUGCUUCAACGCCCAAGUAGAGAUUCAAGUGAGUGUAGAUUAUUUCAUUAAGCCCAACUGUUGAAA
rnacentral:misc_RNA from 1 species